rnacentral:rRNA from 1 species
UGGGGAAUAUUGCACAAUGGGCGAAAGCCUGAUGCAGCAACGCCGCGUGAGUGAUGAAGGUCUUCGGAUUGUAAAGCUCUGUCUUUUGGGACGAUAAUGACGGUACCAAAGGAGGAAGCCACGGCUAACUACGUGCCAGCAGCCGCGGUAAUACGUAGGUGGCGAGCGUUGUCCGGAUUUACUGGGCGUAAAGGGUGCGUAGGCGGAUGUUUAAGUGAAAUGUGAAAUACCCGGGCUUAACUUGGGUGCUGCAUUUCAAACUGUAUAUCUAGAGUGCAGGAGAGGAGAAUGGAAUUCCUAGUGUAGCGGUGAAAUGCGUAGAGAUUAGGAAGAACACCAGUGGCGAAGGCGAUUCUCUGGACUGUAACUGACGCUGAGGCACGAAAGCGUGGGUAGCAAACAGGAUUAGAUACCCUGGUAGUCCACGCCGUAAACGAUGAGUACUAGGUGUAGGAGGUAUCGACCCCUUCUGUGCCGCAGUAAACACAUUAAGUACUCCGCCUGGGAAGUACGAUCGCAAGAUUAAAACUCUAAAGUGAAUUGAC